GUUUGUUUCUGACACUGAAUACGCCCAAUCUCAUCUGAUCUGCAAAGCUAAGCAGGGUUGGGCCUGGUUAGUAUUUGGAUGGGAGACUACCUGGGAAUACCAGGUGCUGUAAGCU
rnacentral:rRNA from 1 species